CGGUCACGUGACAGGUUGCUCCGCCCUCUCUGUAAAGAAACACGUGAUUGGUCAGCGGUUUAAGCAGCAGCAGAGCCGCGUGUUCCUCUGAAUGUAGAAGUGUAGCUGUGAUUUCAUUACAUCCAUAAACAAGUUGUUCACUUCUCCAGGGUCUACGUUUGCUUGUGAAAAACUCGUUUUGUGUCAGGUAAGUAAAAAAAAAGAAAAUACAAAAGUUUUAUAAGUGUUAUUUUUCCCUUAUGAUUAAAAGAAUGUGUGCAGCUGUGUAGGCUCCAUUUAUCUCUACUCUCAGUGUUAGCAUGCUAGUUUUUUAUUUUUACUUUGUGUAUGCUAAUCCUGUUUGUAAAAUUGUGAGAAAGCAUGAAUUCCACCUGAGGUCCACCUGUAACAACUGUAACACCUGUAACACCUGUAACAACUGUAACACCUGUAACAACUGUAACAUCUGUAAUAAUGAACAUCCAUAACACCUGUAAAUAUCUGUAACAUCUGCAACAACUGUAAUAACUAACACCUGUAACAUCUGCAACACCUGCAACAUCUGCAACAACUGUAACACCUGUAACAACUGUAACAACUGUAACACCUGUAACAUCUGUAACAGCUGUAAUAACUGUACAGGAUCGUGCUUAAGAGGCUCUCAGUAUGCUAGGAGCAGUGAAUGGUGGCAGCACUGAGACAGACAAGAAAACAUUCUGUUAUCCUUUUUUAUAUAUAAAUCAUAACAGAGUACUUUACUGAUCCCCAAGGGGAAAUUUGGUUAAACCACAAUUAUGCUUAAACCACAGUAGUAUAGUUUAUCAUGAUUACUCUGAUAUAACAAGGAAAAAAGCAAAGAAACAUUAACAAAAAAAAUUAUAAUGUCUUUAUCAUCAAUCAGUUACUAUUAUUAUUAUUAUUAUUAUUAUUAUUAUUUAAAUUUAACCUUGAUUAAUCCAGGGUAGUCACAGUGAGACAAAAAAAAUCACUUUCUCACGUGAGCGCAGGCCUAAGAAGGCAGCAGAAUAUUUACCACAAACACCACUGAGAUAAAGGAGCAGGAGCAGUCGUACUGAAUACAGCACAGUUCCCUUAUAAAUAGCUCAGAAUCGUAAAAUCCUAAAAGACUGGGUGAGAGUUCGGCUCAGCUCCUGUGAGAUCUCGCAGUCCUCGUAUGCGUGUGAAAGUUUCUCAUUUGGACUUUAAAAUUGUCCUGAAAUAAAAAGAUUACGAGCGCGGACCAGUUUCAAACACAUGGUGAGUAACUGUGAUAAUGUGCGAGUCUGCUGAUUCUCACAGUUAUCAUUAGAAUAGCUACAAAUAUUGUACUUCAUUCCAUAAAGUGUAAGCCAUAAAUAAUAUAAAGCAAUGUAUUUUUUUAUUAACUUCCUCUCAUGGAAUAAUGUUAAUAAAUAGCCGUGUUGCUGCUGGAACUUUACACUUAGUAAGAAGUUCUCGAAAAUCCCCUUCUGCUUUUCCAAGUCAUGGCGAAGUGAAACGAAAUGAGUGGCGCUACGUGCUAAUCCACAGUAGGACACAGACUCCGGCACUUGGAAGUGGCUUUAUUGAUUUCAUGUGCUGGGGACUAUUUCUGUCUGCUGGCUAAUAGACGAGGCUAAUCCUGGAAACACACUUCUCUCCUCAGGCCUGUCCUCCAGACCACAGAGAUAAAAUGUGAGGAGGGACACGGCGCACUUAAAGGAGAGACCUUCUGGAAAACUGGGGUGGAGAUGUGGGCUGGGGACACGGGGACAUGAGGACAUGGGGAAGUGGCGAAAUGGGGACAUGUUGUUUUGGGGUGCAGUGUCGACUGUUCCAGGUGAACACGAAGCCUCUGAGUUUACGUCUACACGCCAGUGAAGUCUGUACAGCGCUGACGUUUGUCUUUAAGGCGUUAAGUGUGAGUUGAGUGGAAGGUGAAGAGUCGGUGUGACCUGCUCGAGGGAAGCGGAGACGCAGCGGCUAAGGCUUUGAGCUGCAGAUCAGAAGGUCAUGAGUUCAAAUCCCAACACUGAAAUACUGAAGUGCCACUCUAAACCUUCACCUGCUCACACGUCUGCUGGAUAAAAACCUCAGACACAUGACCGCGUGGAGUGGAUUAUAUUUUAUUUUAAAUGUAGGAUAUAUUUCUGGGAAUGUUAUAAAGGGAUAUACCGUAAAAGUCCAACACUUCUCCUACAAAUAUAUUAUAGUACUUCAGUGUGAAUAUUCUUAUUUACUGUAAAUGUACUCUGUCUGUAACUCUGCUGCCAGUAAAUUUUACAAUACAGUUUAACAAUUUUUUUAAAACCUUUUUUUACACAUUGCAUCAGGCAUUUAUAAACAAACACACACUCUUAGAAAAUGUUGAAGCUUUUUUAUGGUCCUCAGUUUUCUCUCCAGCGAAUCCUUAAAGCGUCUACGGUUCUGUAGCAGAAAAGCUUGCAAGUAGAACCGUUCUACGGCACUGAGAACCUCUAACUAUUCAGGGAACAGAUCACUGGAACGUCUCAGAAAAAUAAUUCAUGUUAUAAAUAAAAAAUAAAAACUAUCCUAAUAGUGUAGAUGGAGAUUUAAAGUCGGCCGUAUACACCGAGUUUGUUUCAUUCAGCAGUGAGUUUGGGAUUUUUUUCUUCCACACCGGCCUAUUUAUACAUUCAUCAUUUUAUCAUUUAUUAAUUUAUCCUUUUAGUAUUAAAAUAAAUUCAUAAAGUAGAACCAUUAACUAGUGUUGGUGAAAUGAUGAAUGAUGAUAUUUAAAGUGCAUAAUAGUGAUUGUAAUAUUAAUAGUCAUAAAAUUAUGGAAUUGGAAAACAUAAAAAUGGUGCCUUCAAAAAAUACUUUUUCUCAUAAAAAUAUUUCUAAAUAUUUUUACUUCUUCUUUCUAAAGAAAUGGAAAAGUAUCUGCCAAUAAGACAAUUGAAAGCAGAAAUUACUAAAAGUAAGAAAGAAAUAGGAUUCAAAACUAAUUUAUAAUUUGUUGAGGUUGUGAUUAUACCACAGUGAUGUUGAAUCCUGGACUCUGAUUGGUCAGAAGGUGUUGAUUAGUUCUCUAUAACAGCAGCUCUGACAGUAGUGCAGGUUUAUAUUAAUGCGCUCGUUCUGAUACGUUAUCGUUUCUAUAGCAACAGUUCAUUCACAGGGACGUGUACAGCAAACGAUCGACAUAAACAGAUUAGAAAAAAUCGUUUCCUGUAAGGAGAUGUUUAUGUAACAUUUAUGGAAGGAGUCUCCAGUGUCAGCGCUUGUGUAAGAGUCAGAGGUAAAGCUGUAACUUUAAGUUUUCCGACAUCUUCGGGACAGAGGAGUUUACGCUUCUUUGCGUAACAAGCUGCAGAGUUUUUUUGUCUUAGUAACGUCAACAGAGAGAAAAAAGAGCAGCUGGUGAGGGAACGACUGUUUAUAGCUGCUAUAACGUAAGUGAGAACAGGAACUAAUUCACUUUGCAGACAUUAAAUGUACCUAUAAGCGGAUAAAAAGUAUGACAUGUCGCUUGCUGUGGUAUAAAGGGAUACAACACUUUGUGACCUGCUGUUAUAGGAAAAUAAUCAACCCCGGGGUGGUAACAGUAUCUCUUCCCAGCCAUGUGAUCAUAUGAGUCACCCAGAGAUAUUUUUGGUAUUUGUUCCUUCAGGAAUGAUGUUUUCAUUCAGGAUACUGAGAGAGCUCGUGAUCUGCAGCCAGCUUCAGGCAUCAUCUGUUCUCACGAGCAUUUUGGAGUUCUCCUCCCGGCAGAUAUACCCAGAUCCUGUAUCCCUGAACUAAUUACCCCUGUCAAUUCUUCACAGGGCAUCUCCACACUGGGAAACGGAGGGGUGGGAUGUGUUAUUUUUAAAGCGCAGUGAGAAAACCCAGGAGAGAUUCCAUGUAAUCACACUUUACAAACACACAUACACACAUUUCCUUGGUGGCGCGCGGGUUUAAGGUGGUCUUCUAAACAGAGCCGGUCAGCUGCUCGCUCUCUGAACAGCCAUUACGCUGACGAGCUCCAGAGAUCCAGAGACGAGGCGCUCUCCACGGCUUGAUCUCAUCAGACCACAAGAGCCGCACUGGUAUUGUUUGCAUUGAGCUGUCAGCACUUUCCUAAGUUUACAGAGACAAUGCAGGUGUCGCAUGCAAUAUUCACAUCCACAGUUGGUUUACAGUGACACAAUCUGAUCUACACAAAGGGAACACGGCCUGCUGAGUGGGGUAAAUAAUUACGUGCAAUAAUCAGUACAAUGAUGCUGAAAGACGAGACAUGCAGCAAAUACACGACAAUACUGACUCUAGAGCAGGACUGCAAGUCAGGAAAUGAUAUUUUAAAUUAAAUUUGCUGACAGAAAAUGCUUUUAUUCUGGUGUUUUUUUUUCAGUUAACAAUGUAAAUAUUGCUGAUGCAGAUUAUUAGGACUUGGGACAGUUCAGAGGAGACUCUGAGGACGACACCCAAAUAUUAGUAUUUUAUUUAAUGUUUUAUUACAUACUAUUAUUAUUAUUAUUAUUGUUGUUGUUGUUUGAAAUGAAAUCAGUUUGUAUAACACUUUUAACACUAAACACUGUCACAAAGCAGCUUUACAGAUAUCUAGAGAUCUAGAUCCCUAAUGAACAAGCCAGACUUUGUGUGUUUUGACAACUCGUGCAUGCUAUAACUAAAAAAAAAAAAAAAAAAAAAAAACAGUUAAUUUGACCAAUUUAAAGGAGAUAAAAUCUAAAGAUAUUAGUAGCUGAUUUAUUAGAAAUCGCCAAAACGUAAGCAGACAGCAGCAGUUUCAGUUACACUGGGCUUCACUGAAGUCAUUCUACAAAAAAUGCUGUAUAUACAGUAUGUAAAUAUUAUCUGACAUCAUUUCACUGUCUGAUGAAGAUGUUGACAGAAAUAAAUACAUAUUAAAGUGGAAAUAAAGUUCUACAAUGUCUUGAUAUCAUUUAAAAAUAAAUUUAAUCUUUCAGCCACAUGUAAAAAGCACCUAAUAGAAUUGAAUAGAAUAUUACUCUAUUGUCCAACUGUAUUUUCAAACAGCGUUGUUUCUGGGCUCACUUGUAGAUUAUAUAGGUUUUA